GAAGUAGAUGAAAUUUCAAACUCGUCUUUUACACACUUUGCACUUUGAAUUCUUACAUUUUAAGAAGCUGAAGAUCCCCAAAAAGUACACACUUCGCAUUCUAAUAAUUUUACAUACAAUGAAAAGUAUGAAGAGGAUAUGAUCUUCUUCAAAUACCUAGAUACCGGAAUAUUAAAACAGAUCGUAGAAAGGGUGACUUCGAUAUCAUGCAAAGAUAUGAUAAAUUUUAAACUAAGGUCAUCAACGGGGGGUUUCAUAUGAAUCUGUCGAUGUUAGACGUUCCAAUUAGCCCAUUGCAGCUCCCAAUCCAUGAAAAUUAUAGAUAUUUUGAGUCGUUCAUGAACUGGUGCAUAGAAUAUGAAAAUAAUGAAGCCUUGUAUAGAACAUGUGUGAAGAACUAUUUCAAAAAUGGAAGUACAGAUGAAGCACUUGAAAUGUUGGAAAGAGAAUCUGAGGGAGGCCACAAAGCUGCAACAUAUGUGUUUGCCUUAAUUUCGAUAUUUUUAAGGGGUGAAACCGGAGAACAUGGGAUAGAAACGAUUGGCCAUAUGAAAGGAAUGCAACAACAAAGGAUAUUAACAAGGGAAUGUCAACAAAGUCUUCGACAAAUAUUAGGUACAAUUUGUAUCUAAUCGUGUAUUUGUUAUAGAACUCCCACGUUGUUGCACUACACAAUUAUAUCUAGUUAAUAUUCCCCCAACUGAAUAUGAUAGUGAUGAAUCUGAUGAAGCAUACCUAUGUUAUGGUUGUAGUAGCGAUGAAGAAGUUACCAAGUUCUGUACUUUUACUAGGCCAUUUGUAAAUUACUAUUAUCCCAAUUGGAUUUAUUAGUUUUAUUAUUGUUAUUAUCAUAA